UUUUUUUUUUUUUUUUUUGAGAUGCAGUCUCACUCUGUUGCCCAGGCUGGAGUGCAGUGGCACAAUCUGGGCUCUCUUAAAACUCCACCUCCUGGGUUCAUGCCAUUCUCCUGCCUCAGCCUCCCAAGUAGCUGGGACUACAGGCACCUGCCACCACGCCUGGCUAAUUUUUUGUAUUUUUAGUAGAGAUGGGGUUUCACCGUGUUAGCCAGGAUGGUCUUGAUCUCCUGACCUCAAUGAUCUGCCCGCCUCGGCCUCCCAAAGUGCUGGGAUUAUAAGCGUGAGCCACCGUGCCCAGCCAGUGAUUUGUUACUCAUCUUUACAGAGGCCAUGUCCUUUUAGAUGUAUAUCAUAUCUAUUUGUUUAGCCUAUUGUGAGGCAGGAUGGGAUGUAGCACUGGUCAUACCUUGGUGGCUAGUGUUCUAAUGUGAGUGCACCCCCCUCCUCCCAGGUAUUGCCAGACACUGGGGGUUGGGCACUGCCAUAUCUUACCAUCACUCUCCUACCCAUUUUUCUUGAGUGGAGAUAGAUACCACCCAUCACUAUUACCUGGUUAAACAGAUAGAGAAGGGAAAGCAACCAGCAAUCAAACCAUCUAGAUAGUCCUACUGUGGUACCUGAAUUAGUCAAUCUAUUAGUUACCUUUGAACUUCCUGUCACUGCUAUCCACCACUCUGGGGCAAGGAGUAUUCUUAGUGUCCUGCUAUAUUUUGCAGCAAUAGUCUACUGUUCUAGUUUUAACUGUGGUUUACCUCCUUCACCUGAUCCUAUGUCAUUCAGGGAUUUGUCGUAGUUUCUGGUUCCUGGCAAUUUCUUGUUUCCGAUGCAGUUGUGAUUUUUUUUAAAUCGUCUCCACUACUUACAGAAAUUGGGAGCUAGAAGAGAUUGUACCAUUUUUGUCCAAUCCAUUAUCCUCAAAUUCACCCUUUUGCCAUGCCUGAGUGAUGAACAAAGAGUAGUCAAAGAAGUGGUCUGUGGAGGUCAAAAUAUCACCAUAUUCUGAUUAAAAUUAUGGAGAAUAUAGCUUAACAUGAAAGCCAAAUGCUAAUACUGAACCACAGAGUUACAUGAAGUUAAUUAGCCACCCAGGUCCAAGUCCAGCAACACUGAGUGGGGCACAUCUCAUCACAUGUGUAGCACCCUGCCCUGCAACAAGUAGAGCUUAUGCUUUCUUGGGCUUGACUGGCUCCCAAAGAACAAAGAGAAGGAAACUAAGCCAAUCAUGCUCAGUUUAUUAUUCUAGAAUUUACCAGUCAGAUUAAAUUACCCUGUCCAAAAACACAGGAGACAAACAAAAUCAAGUUCCUUCUUAUAGAAGGUCUCCUCUUGCCACUGUAACAAAUUACCACAAAUAUAGAUGCUUAGAAAACAAAUUUAUUCUCAAUAGUUCUUGAGGUCAGAAGUCCAAAAUCCACUUCAUUAGGGGUAAAGUCAAGGUGUCAGAGGGACUGGUUCCUUCUGAAGCCUCUGAGGGGAGAAUGUUUUCUUGCCUUUUUCAGUUUCUAGUG
rnacentral:lncRNA from 1 species